AGGAAGAACUCGAUGUUGAAUUAUCCUCCUUGCCUCUUGCCUCUCCUUGCCUUGAACUAAGCUAUGAAAACCUUGAUAAUCAAUCCUUGGGCGAGCUGGACCUUCUAUAGGUUAAGUGGAUUUACCCACGAACUUCCAAGUUUACCCUUGAAAUUUACUUUUCCGGAAUUGAGCUAGCGUGGUCGUGCUAAUGGACGUGCUAGUGACCGCGCAUAUGCCCUAUCAUUCUGCCUCGACCAUCUGGGCUAGCAUGGCCGCGCUAGGCCAGGUCUUCAUUUUGUUUCUUCUUUUUCUCGUCUUCCCACGUACUCAGCUCAUAGGGGCUUUUCUUGCUUCAAUUUAGCUUCAAUCACAGCUUUAAGUCCUCAUACGUGCUACUCACUCCUGCAACGUGUGAAAUUCACAAUUAGAGCCAAUUUAUCAUCAUUUAGCUAUAUUAUCACAGUGAAACAUAAUCAAGCUGGGGCAUAAACAAUCUCCAUAUUACAUAAAUCUAGCCUAUUAUUAGCUUCAUUAUACAUUUUUCUUUUUGGUUAAUUCUCAAUGACUUGAAAUGGUUUGAUUUUAGUUUGGGUAUGCCAUUGAUUAGCAGGCAUGUGUUCAUAUUUGGACCUAAAAUAUCGUAAUUCAGAUGUCAUUCGUAAUCUUUUACCUCAUUUAGAUAUCUGUUCCGAACAUUAAUUUUGAGGAUUCAACUAAACAAUUUUUUCUUCAUUGGAGAUUAAGCAGAAUAUAUAUGCAGCAGUACCUAACAAGUGUUUCAGAUAUGCAACAGUCCUGACCAAGAAAUAAUUAGCAGCAGCUGAAACGAUUUACGUGAUGAAGCAGUGAAGGAAACAGAUAAUAAUUUCUCUACACAUGUUUGUUCUUCUACAGUAUGCUGCCGUUAAAAUUAGCAAUGAUUCUAGCUGACAAUGUUUUAUGCUACUUGUGCUAUUGAUGCAUUUGCACAUAUUAAGAUGGAUUCAAAGUUCUUCAUUAGUACCUAUGUUAUCAAGCACUAAAUUCACCGUUAAGGUUUAGUUGAAUGGUUGUUUACUAGUUUAAAAGAUAACAUUUCUGUGCAGGAAAGAGUUGAUGUUAUGAAGGGCUGAGUGUAACUUAAACUUAGUUUACUUCUCAGUACUAAUUGGUGUCAAGUACUUUGGCAAGCUUAUUAAUCCUUUGGUUGAAAAAGUUGCAAAGGUUGUAUGGAGAAUGAUUCUCAGAUCUGAUUUAGGCAUCGCCACCCACUUGUGCAUAUGUCAAACUAGUUUUGCAAUGAGAGUGAGAGAGCGAUGACAAACCUCGGUUAAAGCUUUAUUCCUAUUGUUUAUUACCAGAUUCACUUGAGAGUUAUUUUGCAUUCAGUUUGUUAGAGCUUGGCUAGUAGUAUUAUAGGAGUUUUCAGGAAUCAGCCUUUCCAUAUCUGUCAAUUCAGAGACCCAGGGCGCUGAGAAGGUGCUUUUCUUCACUUGGUGGCAGCGAAAGAGAGAUUUUGACAGCUCAAAACUUGAGGAAAAGGAGGAUUACAUAUAUCAGUUGGUAAGAGUUGGGGCGAAGACUUGGACUGCCACCAUUUAUAGUGAGAUAGUACCUUGCUUGUGAUGGAAAACCUUUAGAUGGUUCGGACUUCAAUGGAUGAUGCCACGCACCGUGAAGGAAGCACUGUUCCCCUAGACAUUUAGAAGAAGAGGAGAAGAUAGAAUGUGUGGGAUGAUGUUGCCCCACUAGAACUCAUGUGGAUUGUAUGGAAGGAACAAGAGAGCUUGAAGGAAUAUUAAAUGAAAUUCAUAUUUGAGGAAUAACCCUUUGUCCCUUAUUUCUUUUCGUGCACCCAUAAGAUUCCAGUUUGUAUAGAAGAUUGGAUGUCUAUCUUAAUGAAUCGUCCCUUUGUAGAUCUUGUACCUUUUGGUAUACCACUUUUAUACAAGAGUUCCCUCCCUAUCAUCAAUGAAAUUAUUUUACCUUAUUUAAAAAACCUUUGUUAUAGGAGUUCUGACCUUAACUUUGUGUGUCCUUAAUUUUGUG
rnacentral:lncRNA from 1 species